GAUCUGUCAACCCAAUGCAUACGUGGUACAAACCCCACCAUUGUAUCAGGUGCACUUUGCCAAAUGCUAAAAGCCAAUUCAACUGAUGAGCAUGGGAAUAUGACAUCAUCAUCAAUCGAAAAUAGAGCAUCUGUCUUCAAAUUCUUGAUCUCUUUGAACCUAUUGUUCAAACUGUCUUCCCUAUUGAUGUCAAAUUUCAGUUCAAUUUGUUGACCAUCUCUGGAGUUUGAUUCUAUGACAUGGUUUAAAUAUUUAAUAAGAGAAACGGAGGGAGGAUCAGGCUCGCUCCAGACUAUGUGUAUAGAAGUAAGCCCAGGACAUGAUGCAUAAUGAGAAAUGGAUUGUUUCAAGAGAUCAUUUCUCUUCCAUGUAUUAAUCAACAAAGCAUAUCCUUUCCUGUAGACAUCAUGAAACACAGCAUUAGAACCAACCACAACUUCUGGUAAUCAUGGCAAGAAAGCAAGAAUAAACUGUGUAGGGGAAGCCAAGUAAGUCAUAAUGGACAAGCGAUAUGAAUAUGAAUGUCAGCAUAUAAUCACAACGAGUAAUACUUUGACCAAUGUCACAACUUAUAUUUAACUCAACCCUAAUAAAUUUGCUUCUGUUCUGCCAAAUCCAGACAGAAGUAUUUCUCAAACUCUAAGUUUGAAGUCUCUGUUGUUAAUGAAUAUAGACCUAGCUCCCGCUCAUACGGUUAUACCAGCUACCUAUGUUCUCUAGCACAUCUGAUCUGAUAACCAAAAAGAGCUUCUCAACAUCUGAAAGAGCUUUCGGCUAGGUUCUCAUUACUUUAAAGACAUUACACGUGUAUCCGGCGGGAGCUAAUUCUAAUACUAUAUAAAAUCCAGUGAAAGAAUACCAUUUUCUCUGUGUCGAAAAGCACGGAAAUAAUUGCACCAGCUGUUCUUGGUAAGAUUAGACGACCAAAGAGCAAAUUUGACCAAACUUUCAAAAUCCCCAAGCAGCAUAACUACAGAAUUACAGUUGUUCAUGUUUAAAUGCCUAUGCAAAGUGGCAAAGGAUCUAAAAAUGAACUGAGCGAUGCAAACUAACUGCAGUAUUAUAUUAUUAGAAGCCAGAUCUCACUUAAGCAAUGUAAUCAUUGAAAUAACGCAAGCCGUCGUGCAAAUGACAGUUUAAUAGACACAGCCAUUGCCGUCUCUAUUUACAUCUAGCACCACCGCAAAAGAAUCAGCCAUACAGAGCAUUAAUCAUCUCCAUAUAGAUUUUCAAAUUCAGAGAGAGAGAGAGAGAAGCAAGCAAUUAUGACUUUAUUCUGCCUUAGAUUUAUAUGCAAAAGUUUCUAAAACAAAACUGCAUUUAGACAAAAACUAGGCAAACAAAGCAGCAUUUUACUGAGCCGAUGUUGAUACACUGUUUCAAUUUAACUUUGUGGGGUUAAGAUACAAGAAAACCCCUCCAUAAUUAGAGUAUCAAUUUAACUUCGAGGGGCUAAGAUACAAGAAAACCCCUCCAUAAUUAAUAAGGCAACUAUACUGGGAAGAUAAUGUACUUCCCCUCUGGCUCUUUCACAAGGAUGAUUUCUGACCUAAGUCCUAAAAGAAUGUUGCUAAACUAAAAUUUUCCUUCUACAUUUGGUAACCAUGUGGAAAGUGGAUACUAUUACAAAAAGACGCUUACAACAAUUGACUUAGGAAGAUGAUUAUGUGGCAAAGAACCACACAAGAUAGAAAAUAAAAGGAACGAAGCCAUCAUCACUAACAUUGCCAACUCCAUCACCAAAACCAACUGCUUCGACUAUCAACAGCUUUCACUGAAGUUGGUACUAAGGGCAUGUGCCCAUAUUCAGCUACAAACCUAUUAACACAUUCUGUCCUCCUAUUGCUGUGACCUCCCAAACUACUGAUCCCUGUGGAACCAAUCUCAUAUAUCUUGCCUGGAUUAACACGAGAAGACGAAUAUCAAGAAAAGUCUCUAAAGUAAAUGAUUUGAAAGUAAUGUUCUUCAGUAGCAGAAUGAAACUCAAUAAAUGACAUUGCAAAGUCAACACAUAUUCUAAGUCAAACAUGAAAAAUGUAGUAAAAAUCAAAAUUGUUUAAUUCGAUAAUUGACAAGAUUGGUAAUGUAAACAAAAACAAAGAAAAUUAACAGGCUAUGUGAUGACAGCAAAAAAUUCUGGCAGACCACUGUUUUCAACUAAGUAUUAGAGUAACAUCUCUACAAGAUUUUUUUUUUUUUUUUUUUUGGUGCAGAGAACUUAACCUGUGCUAACUGCAUUAUCAGCGUUACUAUGCAUUAUUGGCAACUCUUAAGUAGUGUGAUCCUAAGCAGGUCACAGCACCCGUGAUACAAUUCUCCAAGGAUAGGGAUUUAGUUACCAGCCAGAUACAUCCAUAUUACAUACAGAGGCAAACAGAGUCACAGAACAAGAUACCUUAUAGAAGUCUAGUAAGACUGAACCAAACUUGGUAUUGUUGUUUACUAGAGUGAUCUUUUGCAGCCUCAACCAGGACAAAUGUUAAUUUUCUGGUUGAAAGUCCGUGUGUUGAUUGAACAUGUGGGAGGGUGGAGGGGCAUACCAUGAGACGGACAAGGUAGAGCAAUAAAUUCGAAAAAGCAGGCUGAACUAGAAGAUAAGACACGGAUGAAAAGUUGCCUGACAAGCUUCACUUACCUCUUACCCAUAUUGGGGGAACACCAGUAGCAUUUGCAACUAAGAAAGACAUUGCGAUGUCUUCACAAUUCCUAUUCAUUCAAUUGAAUAUAGUUAACUUUGGUAAACAACAGAGCAGCAGGAACAAAAUAAGAGAGACAAACAUCAGAUGAAGCAUGGAAGAAAAUUUCUAGGAUUGAAUAAGAACCUGUUUGUGGUCACAUAUUCUCGAAUCGAUGCAGGCAUUUGAUAAGUAUACAAACUAAGAUACUUCUGGUGGAAAAAGGCCGCUUUCGAAAGAACCAUACUGUAUGUUCCCAUCCACCAAACAGACCACCAUCCUCCAUAAGUGAAUUGGUCAGAGUUGCCUUUCUGCAUGACAACUUCAUGCUUUAAUAACAAUACAAGUAAUACUCAAAGAUGCACCUGGUUUUUCUUCUUUCCCAAGCACCCCUCCCCCUCCUCCUCCCUGCCCCGUUUUAAAGGGGGGAAAAAUAAAUGCACCAAGUGCGUCAAUCAGAAUUGGAAAAAUUUCCAUGUUAGGAUGAGUAAAGUAGUAUUUUACCAAUAAAAAAAUAGCUACAAAACCACAAGAUGAAUGAAAUAUGUCCAUUUUAAAAGACAGAAUAAGUUUACUGACAAGAAAAGUUCAAGCAGUCACUAGUCAAAACCACAUACUAUGGAUCAAAGAAUUUAUAGGAGUCAUGAUUUUAGAAUGAAAACAACUGCAGUCUAAGAUGCAGAAUACGAGACAUACUCCAGCUGCUCAAAGGCCCAAAAAAUUUCAGACGAAACAAUAAAAACAUCUAAUUCAGCUCCUAAACAUAAGUGAAGUGUAAUUACUAGAGCAUCCCAAGCGCAGGUGACGCAAAGGGUUAUUGACUGGCCAAUUGAUCACCAAGAGUCAAGUAUUAAACAAACUUUGCAGCACAACAAAAAUUAAUAUCAGAUUCUGUGUAAAUUUGAUAGUUCCCCAUUUAGUAGAUAAGGUAUUUAGAAUUGUAGUUUUGGUACAAGAUGUCAUUUUGAGUAACCAAGAAGGACAAGUUCAAUUACUUCAAAAUAUUUGCAUGCUUGCAGAAGUUCUAGCAAUAUCAAAAACUUAUCUUGUUUAGCUAAAAUUCUUCAGUAACAUAACAGGAGAAAUCUUCUCCUAUUCCAAUAAUAUAGAACAACAAUAUAACUUCUUCGGUCCGAAUUUAUUUUCACUUCUUGGUAUCAACUGAGACAAUGUAUUUGCUCCUUGAGGCAACUCUAAUGAACCAAACCUUAAUAUUGUUGAUAAAAUUUUUAGUUUCAUGGAUUCAAAACAUCCUUAUUUGGGGAUGGACGAAAAGUUUUCCUUCCAAUUCCAGGUAACAAGGAACAUGUAAAAGUUGAUGAUAGUUUUCGUCAACAUGUUUAUUCUACUUUGACAAACACUACUAUGUUCGACGAGUUAAAUUAGAACAAUAUUAUCAAAUACUACCAUAGCAAAGGAGCACAAAAGGCAGGACAUACAAAAAAGAGAAAGUUAGCCUUUUCCUCUCCAAAAAUUUAUAUCAAGCAUGUUCCAUUUCCAUAUAUAUAUAUUCGUCUCUCUCUCCCUCUCUCUGUCAUGCACAAACACACACAAUCUACGAUGUAGAUAUCUGCAUACAGAUCCGUCGUAAUGUACAAAGUUACAUUCACCGCUGCAGAAUAAGCAUAAUUCUAGUUUCAAAUGGUAGCCGGUUGUCAAAAUAAAAAAUAAAAAAUAAAAAAAGGAGAAGACAUACCGAUCUGUCAACCCAAUGCAUACGUGGUACAAACCCCACCAUUGUAUCAGGUGCACUUUGCCAAAUGCUAAAAGCCAAUUCAACUGAUGAGCAUGGGAAUAUGACAUCAUCAUCAAUCGAAAAUAGAGCAUCUGUCUUCAAAUUCUUGAUCUCUUUGAACCUAUUGUUCAAACUGUCUUCCCUAUUGAUGUCAAAUUUCAGUUCAAUUUGUUGACCAUCUCUGGAGUUUGAUUCUAUGACAUGGUUUAAAUAUUUAAUAAGAGAAACGGAGGGAGGAUCAGGCUCGCUCCAGACUAUGU
rnacentral:lncRNA from 1 species